rnacentral:tRNA from 1 species
GCCUCUUUAGCUCAGUGGUAGAGCGUUGGUCUCGUAAACCAAAGGUCGGGAGUUCAAUCCUAUCAGGAGGCA